rnacentral:piRNA from 1 species
UGGCCUUGGAUUAUAUGAAUACUUCAUGAU